rnacentral:rRNA from 1 species
GGAUUAGAUACCCUGGUAGUCCACGCCGUAAACAAUGGACACUUGUUGUUGGAGGUAUUGACCCCUUCAGUGACGAAGCUAACGCGUUAAGUGUCCCGCCUGGGGAGUACGGUCGCAAGAUUAAAACUCAAAGAAAUUGACGGGGGCCCGCACAAGCGGUGGAGCAUGUGGUUUAAUUCGAUGCAACGCGAAGAACCUUACCUGGGUUUGAAAUGAACAGGAAGACUACCAGAGAUGGUGUCGCUCGCAAGAGUCUGUUCACAGGUGCGGCAUGGCUGUCGUCAGCUCGUGCCG